rnacentral:rRNA from 1 species
UACGUAGGGCGCAAGCGUUGUCCGGAAUUAUUGGGCGUAAAGAGCUCGUAGGUGGCGUGUCGCGUCUGCCGUGAAAGCCCAUGGCUUAACUGUGGGUCUGCGGUGGAUACGGGCAGGCUGGAGGCUGGUAGGGGCAAGCGGAAUUCCUGGUGUAGCGGUGAAAUGACGCAGAUAUCAGGAGGAACACCGGUGGCGAAGGCGGCUUGCUGGGCCAGUUCUGACGCUGAGGACGAAAGCCGGGUGGGAGCAAACGGG